rnacentral:lncRNA from 13 species
CCUUCUCUCCGGGUGGAUGUGCAGGUGCUGUCGAGCACCACGUUGCUAUGGCUACUCCUGGAGUGCUACCUGAGCCCACUGUGUGCCAAAAUCAGCCCAGGAGGAGUGUGUGAGAACUGCAGUUAGCACAAUUAAUGCAAGGCAGAGCCACUCUGAGCCACCGUCCACAGCAGACACACUUUGGGCAGGCGAAGAUUUGGGAUUUGCAGUCCUAGGAGCACCUCUCGGGAGGAAAAAAAAAAAAAAAAAAAAAAAAGCUGCAAGAUUUGAUUCACUUUUAUUCCAGUUCAGUUUCAGGCAGUUACAAAGAGCCAGCCCCAGGAUGAAUGCAGCAUGCCAGGCUGGAGAAGACAACAAUCAUUGGCCAGGAGGAUCAUUAACAACACUGCUCAGCAUGGAUCCCAGAUGGUUGAACAGCCAGAAUCCUGCUUUGGUGGAUGGUCACAACCAAAACCACACAAGAAGACCCAAUUUCUUGUGUGCUGGAAGAGGUGGUUGUUGGUGCUCUCCAGAAACCAGUACAGGAAGUACCUCUCCAGCUUUGUUCUUUUCCUACUGAGUCUCCCUUUUCCAAGGAGUGGUGUUGAUCUGAUUAUCCCAUACAUUAUAGUGAUGCAGAUUAAGACUGAGCAUACAUUUUCACAUGCCCAUGGUUUAACAUCCAGUAAAAAAAAGUGCUCAGAAGUAUUUAUUAAAAUGACUUGUACAUUUUAUAAAAUAUCUGUAUCAAUUAAUUGCUAAUAAGUAGUUCAAAGCUGACUCAGAGCUGAAUUAAUAAUUUAACACUCAUAACUUAUUCAAUUAAUUCAGUCUCUCUGCUUUUUUUUCUGGAAUGACUUAUCAGGAGUUAUCCUCUCUUUGUGUCCAGGCAAGGAUCUUCAAGUCUGUCAUUUUAAAUUAAAAUCCUUCCCUCUCCUGAAAUGUUAUUACUUCACAAGAUUGAUCUUAUACAAUUUAUUGCAACUAUUUCAUACUAAAAAUUCAAGUACUGUUGAGAAUUAUGAUGAGAGAAAUAUAUGCACUUUUUCUUGAGAGUUGAGAGUCAUUCUUUUCAUUCUAAGGAAUGUUUAAAAAACUCUCUCAAACUCUGCAUUUUUCAGGGACAGGGAGGGCAGAGGGGACCGAUGAUUGGAAUUUGGGAACCUAUCACAGCAUUCCCUCUCUGGCACAAAGAAUUGACUGAGGCAGCAUCACAUUGGAAAAAACAGGCGACUGCAAGAUUACUGCAUUUGCAAAAAGAUGCACACAGCAUUUUAGAUACCACAGUGAUUUGUUUUUUCCCUUCUCACUGCAGGAGAAUAAUGACACAAUCAAAACCACACUGAAAUCACUGAAAGCCUUUGAGUCCUUUCAGUAGAAUUCAGAGGGCUGAGAUGCCAUUAAAUAGAAUUGCUUGGCAAAUAUUGACACUUUAAGGACAGAUACUGCAUAAAUGUUGAGUACUCUCUGUGUACCCAGCUUUACAUUGAAGAUUUAAAAAUGUUUUUGUUUCUUUAGCUGGUCCUCAGUAGAGCAUCUGUAGAGAGAAAAUAAGUUAAAAAUGGAGAAAGAUGGGGAAGUAACCAAAACAGUGACCUUUAUGUAAUGCACCCAAAGGACACCAUGACAAGAUCCACGGAUGAGCAAUCUGCGACCCCUGUGGCUCCAAUCCAGGCUGAAGCCUCACUGAUCACACAUAAAGCUGGGAGAAACAAACACAGAACUCGCUUCCAAACGAAAACAAAAUAAAAGUAAAUAGCAGCCAUCAUUCCUAUUUCUGAAUGCCUGCCUUGUAUUCAUUUCUCCCCAGUGAAGAUGGUUGAUCAGCACAGUGCUUUCUCUGCUUUUCUAGAGCUUUAAGUUCUGUAUAAUACCACUAACUUAAGAAGAGACUGUGCUUUGAUGCUCUCUCUGUUAAUUAUUUC